AAUUUUCAGUGAGAUGAAAUUCAUCACACAGUUUCAUAAUAUAUUCCUUGAACACCAGCCAGAAAACUUGCAGGAAUCCAAUUGUGAAUCCAUCCGGUCCAGAUGCUUUAUCUUUGUUACAUGCCCUCAGCCCUUCUAAGACUUCUUCUGGUGAAAUUUCUUUCCAAAUCCUGGUUGCUCCCCUCAUCUAGACAACUGAAAGAUAUACCAUCCAGAUUGGGUCUCCACUUCAUCUUUUCAGUGAGCAGGUCAGCAAAAUAGUCUUUGGCGUUAUCCCUCAGCUCCUAGUUUCCUUCGAUCUCCUCAUCCCCAAACAUCAAAGAUCCAAUAAAAUUAUUUCUUCUGUGGUGGCUUGCUAAACAGUGAGCGUAUCUAGUAUUACGAUCACCCUCCUCCACCCAUUUUGCUCUAGAUUUCUGUCUCCAGCUAGCCUCCUCCAUCUGCAUAAAAGAGUCAAUGCUAG
rnacentral:lncRNA from 1 species